rnacentral:lncRNA from 1 species
CACUAUAACUCAUUAACAACUGACCAUCUAAACAACAUGUCAGCACUUUAAUGGGUCUCUGAACACAACCUCACAAUUACACAUCUCUGAUUCUCUGAACAUGCGCACGGUGACUCAUAGAAUUCAGAAAAGCAGGCCAACAUUAACGAUCAUCCAGCGAUCAAGGCGCAGCUUAUACUAUACUAGAUGGCUCAUCCAAGCACAGUUACAUCUCUGAAUACUGAUCUACAGAGUCUAAUUACACUCGUUGCGCUGCGUUCCACACGGCAACUGGAAUUUUGUGUAGAUUCUUCUGUCGUGGCAUCGCCGGAGGGAUGAACUUGAUCCUUGGUGUCUUCUCUUUCAGAAACGACAGAGAGUCGAGCUUCCCAGCGGCGGCGUCGGCGGAACGAGGAGCAUCGAACCAUGGGUGCUUCAGCGCGUCGGCUGCCGUCAGUCGCUC